rnacentral:RNase_P_RNA from 1 species
CUAGUGAUAAUCUCGCACUUGGAGCACCCGCACGAGUACUCGGUUACUCUGAUUUGUUUGCUUCGGGAAGGUCUGAGAUAAGGCAUGCGAAUAUGCCUCAGCAAGGCAGCCCUUUGAUAAGGGCGUUCGCUACCAGCAAUACAUCAGUUGUGGAUGACACUGUGUAUCCUGCACGUAUCCCUCUCGGGGAUAUUUGACAGAUACAUCGUUUGAAAACAGCGGAUUGCCGGCCAUUUAAGUCAAAUUUGCGAGCUACCAGCAAUGGUAGAACUCAAUUCAGACUAAUCUAUCACUAG